UCGAGGGGUACAGUAGCAAUACUGGAGACCGGCGCACGGGUGCGUAACGCGUAUGCAAUCUACCUUUUACAGAGGGAUAGCCCAGAGAAAUUUGGAUUAAUACCUCAUAGUAUAUUUGAAUGGCAUCAUUUGAUUAUUAAAGUUCCAACGGUAAAAGAUGAGCAUGCGUCCCAUUAGCUAGAUGGUAAGGUAACGGCUUACCAUGGCAACGAUGGGUAGGGGUCCUGAGAGGGAGAUCCCCCACACUGGUACUGAGACACGGACCAGACUCCUACGGGAGGCAGCAGUGAGGAAUAUUGGACAAUGGGCGCAAGCCUGAUCCAGCCAUGCCGCGUGCAGGAAGACGCAUCUAUGGUGUGUAAACUGCUUUUGUACGGGAAGAAACACUCCUACGUGUAGGGGCUUGACGGUACCGUAAGAAUAAGGAUCGGCUAACUCCGUGCCAGCAGCCGCGGUAAUACGGAGGAUCCAAGCGUUAUCCGGAAUCAUUGGGUUUAAAGGGUCCGUAGGCGGUUUGAUAAGUCAGUGGUGAAAGCCCAUCGCUCAACGAUGGAACGGCCAUUGAUACUGUCAGACUUGAAUUAUUGGGAAGUAACUAGAAUAUGUAGUGUAGCGGUGAAAUGCUUAGAUAUUACAUGGAAUACCAAUUGCGAAGGCAGGUUACUACCAGUACAUUGACGCUGAUGGA
rnacentral:rRNA from 1 species